rnacentral:rRNA from 1 species
CAACCCCUGUGACAUACCACUUGUUGCCUCGGCGGAUCAGCCCGCUCCCGGUAAAACGGGACGGCCCGCCAGAGGACCCCUAAACUCUGUUUCUAUAUGUAACUUCUGAGUAAAACCAUAAAUAAAUCAAAACUUUCAACAACGGAUCUCUUGGUUCUGGCAUCGAUGAAGAACGCAGCAAAAUGCGAUAAGUAAUGUGAAUUGCAGAAUUCAGUGAAUCAUCGAAUCUUUGAACGCACAUUGCGCCCGCCAGUAUUCUGGCGGGCAUGCCUGUUCGAGCGUCAUUUCAACCCUCAAGCACAGCUUGGUGUUGGGACUCGCGUUAAUUCGCGUUCCUCAAAUUGAUUGGCGGUCACGUCGAGCUUCCAUAGCGUAGUAGUAAAACCCUCGUUACUGGUAAUCGUCGCGGCCACGCCGUUAAACCCCAACUUCUGAAUGUUGACCUCGGAUCAGGUAGGAAUACCCGCUGAACUUAAGCAUAUCAAUAAGCGGAGGA